rnacentral:ribozyme from 1 species
AAUAUACUACACAAAGUAAAGGUAAUGGAAAAAUAUAAAAUAACUAUGCUGCCUGUCCAUGUCCAUCACAUAAACAUGUCCCUCAAAAUAUCUGAGCAUGAGUAUAUGAGGAAACUCAACUCCUUGGAAGGAUGGAUGCUAUGGCAAACUAAAUUCAU